GUGUUAGGGGGUUUCCGCCCCUUAGUGCUGCAGCUAACGCAUUAAGCACUCCGCCUGGGGAGUACGGUCGCAAGACUGAAACUCAAAGGAAUUGACGGGGGCCCGCACAAGCGGUGGAGCAUGUGGUUUAAUUCGAAGCAACGCGAAGAACCUUACCAGGUCUUGACAUCCUCUGACAAUCCUAGCGAUAGGACGUCCCCUUCGGGGGCAGAGUGACAGGUGGUGCAUGGUUGUCGUCAGCUCGUGUCGUGAGAUGUUGGGUUAAGUCCCGCAACGAGCGCAACCCUUGAUCUUAGUUGCCAGCAUUCAGUU
rnacentral:rRNA from 1 species